rnacentral:rRNA from 1 species
GAUGAACGCUGGCGGCGUGCCUAACACAUGCAAGUCGAACGGAGUUAUAUGAAGUUUUCGGACGGAUUAUAACUUAGUGGCGGACGGGUGAGUAACGCGUGGGUAACCUGCCUCAUACAGGGGGAUAACAGUUGGAAACGGCUGCUAAAACCGCAUAACAUUGCGACGUCGCAUGACGAUGCAAUUAAAUUUUUAUAGGUAUGAGAUGGGCCCGCGUCUGAUUAGCUAGCUGGUGGGGUAAUGGCCUACCAAGGCGACGAUCAGUAGCCGGCUUGAGAGAGUGACCGGCCACAUUGGGACUGAGACACGGCCCAAACUCCUACGGGAGGCAGCAGUGGGGAAUAUUGCACAAUGUGGGAAACCCUGAUGCAGCGACGCCGCGUGAGUGAAGAAGUAUUUCGGUAUGUAAAGCUCUAUCAGCAGGGGAGAUUAUGACGGUACCUGACUAAGAAGCCCCGGCUAACUACGUGCCAGCCGCCGCCGUAA